rnacentral:rRNA from 1 species
CCUACGGGUGGCAGCAGUGAGGAAUAUUGGUCAAUGGACGAGAGUCUGAACCAGCCAAGUAGCGUGAAGGAUGACUGCCCUAUGGGUUGUAAACUUCUUUUAUAUGGGAAUAAAAUGUUCCACGUGUGGGAUUUUGUAUGUACCAUAUGAAUAAGGAUCGGCUAACUCCGUGCCAGCAGCCGCGGUAAUUCGGAGGAUCCGAGCGUUAUCCGGAUUUAUUGGGUUUAAAGGGAGCGUAGGUGGAUUGUUAAGUCAGGUGUGAAAGUUUGCGGCUAAACCGUAAAAUUGCAGUUGAAACUGGCAGUCUUGAGUACAGUAGAGGUGGGCGGAAUUCGUGGUGUAGCGGUGAAAUGCUUAGAUAUCACGAAGAACUCCGAUUGCGAAGGCAGUUCACUGGACUGCAACUGACACUGAGGCUCGAAAGUGUGGGUAUCAAACAGGAUUAGAUACCCCAGUAGUC